GUAUUGGCCAUAUUUGGAGAAGACGGCAGAGAAGUUGCCCGAGCUCCAACCACUAACAGAGAUGAAGCCUUUUCUCUCUGUAAUGCAUGCCAAGGCUCACACUGGCAAAUGUGAGGUGAGAUGGGGUGGCAGAAACCAGGAGGGUGCAGGAACUACUGUUGGUGAGGAAGUGGAGCAAGUGAACAGCUUUCUCUCAAGGGCAGCUCUGACUACAAAAUACAUGACCAAGUCAGGCAGAGGAGAUAUGUUGACAAUGCUUGCCAUGGGAUGGAACAACAGGAAGGUGGAGAGUCUUCACAAGACACUGGCAAAGCGAUUUGUCAAGGCAAGAAGUCUGCACUAUAAACUUAGACUGUAAGGGAGGUUUCCUAAACUGACUUGGAUUCUGCACUGGUUCUGUGUUAUCACCGGAUUCACACGGGGAGUGUCGGCCAGAACACCGCUUAAGGCCUGGUUUCUUCAGAGUAUGAAUAAAAGCGCAGAGACGCCGUUGACUUUACUCACUGGAA